UAAUACAGAGGGUGCAAGCGUUAUUCGGAUUUACUGGGCAUAAAGAGCGCGUAGGCGGUCUAAUAAGUCUGAUGUGAAAUCCCUGGACUCAAUCCAGGAAGUGCAUCGGAUACUGUUAGACUAGAGUACAGGAGGGGACAGCGGAAUUCCUGGUGUAGAGGUGAAAUUCGUAGAUAUCAGGAGGAACAACAGCGGCGAAGGCGGCUGUCUGGACUGUCACUGACGCUGAGGCGCGAAAGCGUGGGAGCAAACAGGAUUAGAUACCCUGGUAGUCCACGCCGUAAACGAUGGAUGCUAGAUGUCGGAAGGUUCUACCCUUUCGGUGUCGUCGCAAAUGCAUUAAGCAUCCCGCCUGGGGAGUACGGUCGCAAGAUUAAAACUCAAAGAAAUUGACGGGGGCCCGCACAAGCGGUGGAGAAUGUGGUUUAAUUCGAUGCAACGCGAAAAACCUUACCUGGGCUUGACAUCUGGUGCUAUCCGGUGAAAGUCGGAGUUCCCUUCGGGGUAC
rnacentral:rRNA from 1 species